CCCAGCCGGCCCCCUGCUUUAGAGGCCCGUGCAUACCCUCCAGCUCAUGCUGAUGGGUUUGACACGGGUGGUUUCCGAGAUAUUCAGCCCCUACCUCGACAAAGCCGCCUUGCCCGUGCUCCUAUGCAGUCCAGCCACCCUCCCACUUCUACCCGCCGGUACCAAGGACCCGACCAGGCCCAUUUAGAUUUACUGCAAUAGGUUACCGGCAAGCCUGUGUCAGCAACCCCUGCCAUGACCCCUCCUUUUUGUCAGACACCGAUGUCUCCUGUGUUGGGGUGGAUGGUACACCCCGCAGUAGCCCCCUCACUACACUCCUGCAUGUUGGUUCAUACAUACUCUCACGUUUUGUUGUUUCUUCUACUUGUCCCAUUAACCUCUUGGGUGCUGAUGUUCUUUCUCAGCUCCAGGGUCCAGUUAACUACACCCUUAUCACAGACAGACACCACUGUACUCUGCUCACUCCCCAUCUUGUUGAACCUAACUGACAAUACAGGGAGUGCACGGGUCACACCCCCCCCCAGUGCUCUGGAUCGUAUCCCCCAAGAACUUUGGUCCACCGGCCCGGAUGAUAUUGGACGCUUACGUGUACCCCCCGUCCUGGUCCAGCUCCUGCCUGGAGCACUUCCUCCUCGUAGACCUCAGUAUCCUCUGAAGCCAGCACAAGCUGAAGCCAUCACCACACAAGUUGAGUCUCUGCUUGCCAAAGGUGCCCUCACCAAGUGCACAUCUCCAUGCAACACCCCACUUUUCCCUGUUAAAAAGUGAACUGUUAAGGGCCAACCCGACCAGUACCGCAUGGUACAGGACCUCCGUGCUGUUAAAGAAGUAACCAUAAAGGACACUGCUAUUGUUCCAAACCCCCAUACUCAUCUGGAUGUUAUUCUACUUCAAUAUGUUGAUGACCUCCUUCUCUGUGCUCCUAAUUUGCUUAUUGCAGAGCGUGACUCAGAAGAUCUCCUAUGUUUCCUCGCUGCUGCAGGUUGCAAAAUUUCCAAAUCCAAGCUGCAAUGGUGCCGGCCCUCUGUGGUCUUCUUGGGACAUUGUCUUUCCCAUGGCACCAGACAUCUAACUUCUCAGCGUGUACAAGCUGUUUUGCAACUCCAAUUACCUGCACCACAUCAGACUCUUCAUGCCUUCUUGGGUCUUAUCACAUACUGCAGGUCCUGGAUACCCGAAGCAUCAAAGCUCAUGCAGCCACUCUAUGAUGCCCUCAGGAGUGAGCCCUUUCACCUCAC